rnacentral:ncRNA from 1 species
AGAAAAAGGCAAACUUAUCGAAAGAUAGGGACGCAAAGCCAAGGGUCUAAAGUGAGAACACAAUGACAGCCGGUUGCCGA